AGUAGGUGUGGCCUUGUUGGAGGAAGUGUGUCACUGUGGGGGUGGGCUUUGUGGUCUCCUGUGCUCAGGCUACAUCUAGACAGUCUCAUUCGUGCUGCCUGCAGAUCAAGAUGUAGAACUCUCAGUUCUGUCUCCAGCACCAUGUCUGUCUGGAUGCCGCCAUGCUUCCCACCAUGAUGGUAAUGGAAUAAACCUCUGAAACUGUAAGCCAGCCCCAAUGUUAGCCUUUAUAAGAGUUGCCUUGGACACAGUGUCUCUUCACAGCAACAAAACCGUGUCUAAGACAGGUGAUACCUGUGGCAGAAUUUUCUCUGUCCAAUUAAUUUACAUAUUAGUGUAUCAGGAGGCGUGUGAUUGGACAGGGAAAAGGAAAGCAAAGCUAAGAGUUGGAAAGGCAGGACAGAGAAGAGAGAGAGAGAGGAGAGAGGAAGAUGGAGGGAGAGGAAGAAGAUUCAGAUUCUGCACGGCGUUAAAUAGUCACAGAUCACCAGAGAACUCCAUGAUGCUCAGUCCAAGCCACUCCGCUGGGUCCUAAUUGUAGCAGGCUCUCCGCUGUUCCUACACGGCACCCUUGACCCCCAGCUUCUGGGCCUCUCUUUGUGAGGCCAAUCUGUGGUCUCAGCCUGAACAUGGCCCAUGUGUAAAUUUGACUUGCAACUGUUCAGGUCCUACCUAUGAGGGUGCUUCAAGGGACAGAGCAGAAUCCUGAGGCAAGAUAGAUGUUCUGACAGAUGUCCCAGGAAUCCUUGUGCCUCCUACCCAGGUAGUAUGAUUGGAAAGCAACUCCCCUGUCCAAAUUCUGGGAAGGAGUCAGCCAUCCUGGACUCAUGGUGGGGAGUGAUUGGUCCCUGGCCUCUGACACUGUGGAUGGGUGGCCUAGGCAGGCUCCUGGCCUCUGACACUGUGGAUGGGUGGCCUGUGUAGCCUCCCAGGAUCGGGCACUGUAGGUGAGUAGCCAAAACUUUUCUCUCAGGCCCCAGCUGAGCUCCUGAGAGUCUCAGCUACUCAGAUGCAGAGAGGCAAGGACUCGAGUGCUCCUUCUGUAGAUAGGAAAAUUUUGUUGCAAAUUUAUAAUUCUCCACCACCUUCUCUGGGAAGCUGAGUCCCAGAAGCCCUUGGCUCUGUCGCUUUGAAGGAUGACAAGGCAAAGAGAGGGUGAGGCUGGAGAAUAGGGAAUUAGGUAGAGAUUUCACAGAUUAACAUUUGACAGGUAGCAGCAUCAGCAUCAAAAGACUAGAAGAUCCAGUCCCACCUGGGCUUCAUUCAACCAAAGGAAAUGCUCACAAACUCCCAGCUACUUUAUAUAAACUUGGGAAGGGCAGGUACUAUGUAAAUGAUGCACAGAAGGUUACACCAGGCCACCCUUGCCUCCCCUCUCUCCCUUUCUUGGAGCUGGUCCACAGGCUGCAUCUGAUGCACUUCUAAGUUUGUCUAUAAUUCUCCUUUAAUAAACCAUCUCCUUUCCUGCAAGGAUCCAUGUGUCUCUGGACAACUCCUAAAUAGACAUGAGAAACUGGCGUCUGGGAAGGUGAAGGAAGAAAAGGGAACUGGGAGGCAUCAGGAAUGUACAACUGAAUGCAACAGCACAGGAAAUGCUUGGGUGUGGUGAUCCCCUGGGACUCAGUGACUUUGGGGAAGUUAAGUUGUGUGAAGGCUGCCAGUUUGUCUAAUCAUCUGUGCGCCCCAGAUUCAAAUCCACACUUGUAACAUCUUAGAAAGCCAGCCAUGACAGAAGGGCAGGAUGUUCCUGGGUCUCUCUCUCUCUCUCUCUCUCUCUCUCUCUCUCUCUCUCUCUCUCUCUCUCAAUAAGGCCACUGACCUAUCUCCCCCCCCCCUUAACAUUUGGAAAUGAGAGUCAGAUUUCUGAAGGUGAAUUAUCACGGACUGUGGAAAUUAGAUUCACUUUCUCUCUGUCUCUUUCCCUCUUUCCCGCUUAUGGCGCUCCACGGAUGGGGCCCAAGAGAGUCCCUAGAUCCUCUGAGAAAUGUAUGCAUUGACAGCAGCCGCUGAGCCCAGACUUAAGAGUGGGCGGCAGCUAGCAGGUGACCGUCCGUAUAGAAUCUGUGAGAUGCUUGGAUUCCACAGGGACUUGUGCCUUGACGUAGAUGGCUCAUGUUAUCAUAGGGUUGACCACUUCAGGAAAUAACCAUGUGCUAUUGUCACGAUCUUAGCUAGUGACAUCACUAACAGGGCAAGCUGAAAUUGCAACCAUCACAUGACUAGACAAAAUGGCAGUGCUCACACGACUGCUUAUAUUCCCCAGUGACACGCAUUCUGUGGGAUCAUCAUAUUCUAGAAUUCCCUGUGCUACCAGCACCCAUUUGUACAUCUCUGUCUUCUCCCAGUUUCUUUCCUUCUCUCUUUUACCCUCCAGACGCCUCCUGGGAUCACGGAAACCAGUGACCCAGACAGGACCCCAGGCACUGUGGCAGCUCUUUCCUGCUUCCUCCUUGAGACCUCCCCAGAGGCCCGCCCCUCCCUGAAAGUUUCGGUAUGAGGGGGAAAGUGAUGUUUGUGAAGUAUUGACUCCACGAUUUUACUGGCCUGUAGCUUUGGGUGCUAACACCUCCUGCAACCCCAGGCUUCAUGUCUCUUUUCCAUAGGGAUAAUCGUUCAUGGGACAAGGGCUUGAAACCUGAGGUCCCAUCACAAUGGACCUAAGUGUUAAAGAGUGAGACGCUCCAGCAGGACAGCAAAAAGUCCAUAUCUAGUGAUGUCCUGCUCCCUGCCCUGAGAAAAAGAGGGCUCAGGUGAGGCUAAGACAGUGGGUUCUUUGGCUCCUCAAGAUUCCGAAGUAUAGUUCAUACUUCAGGUCUGUUACAUCCUAACUGCUCUCAAUUCUUUGCUGUUUAUUUACUGUACACGGUCCUGUCCCUAUGGGGGACAGAGAUAAUUCCCCAGGGAAUAAGCAUUAGAGUCAAAGGAGGCAAACCCCCACCCACUUUGUUUGUUUAUUUAAUGUGUCUGAGUAUUUUGCCUGCAUAUAUGUCUGUGUACCAUGUGUGUGGCUGGUGUCCUUGGAGGUCAGGAGAGGGCAUCAGAUCUCCUGGAAAGUGGGGUUAUAUGAUUGUGAGCUGCCGCGUGGGUGCUGGGAAUCAACCCUGAGGCCUCUGGAAGGGCAGUCCCACUGUUCUGAACAAGACCUACUUUUUUUUUAAGACUAUAUAUAUUUGUGUGUGUGUGUGUGUGUGUGUGUGUACACUGUUGCUGUCACUGUCUUCAGACACACCAGAAGAGGGCAUCAGAUCCCAUUACAGAUGGCUGUGAGCCACCAUAUGGUUGCUGGGAAUUGAACUCAGGGCCUUUGGAAGAGCAGUCAGUGCUCUUAACCACUGAGCCAUCUCUCCAGCCCCGCAAGCCCCAUUCUUAAACACUAUUAAUCUGCACAACAAUUUUAAACAAAAGGACUAAAGCAAUUCAUACAAGCAAGUUGUCUCCUGUCCAAAACUAAUAGCCUUGUAGCUCAGGCAUAAUGUUUUGUUUUAUGCUAUUACUCUUUUGGAUGAG